rnacentral:rRNA from 1 species
GACGAACGCUGGCGGCGUGCUUAACACAUGCAAGUCGAACGGAAAGGCCUCUUUCGGGGGGUACUCGCGUGGCGAACGGGUGAGUAACACGUGAGUAACCUGCCCUUGACUUUGGGAUAACUUCAGGAAACUGGGGCUAAUACCGGAUAGGAGCUCCUGCUGCCUGGUGGGGGUUGGAAAGUUUCGGCGGUUGGGGAUGGACUCGCGGCUUAUCAGCUUGUUGGUGGGGUAGUGGCUUACCAAGGCUUUGACGGGUAGCCGGCCUGAGAGGGUGACCGGCCACAUUGGGACUGAGAUACGGCCCAGACUCCUACGGGAGGCAGCAGUGGGGAAGAUUGCACAAUGGGUGGAAGCCUGAUGCAGCAACGCCGUGUGCGGGAUGACGGCCUUCGGGUUGUAAACCGCUUUCGCUCAUGACGAAGCUUUGUGUGACGGUAGUGGGUAAAGAAGCACCGGCUAACUACGUG